GCAAGGCCCUGUUGGUAGGCGACCCCAAUCUCAGAACAAAGGCGAAUGUAGCCGGAAAGCUUUCUUCUUUCAGAGGAUUCUUUCAUCAGUUUCAUAACAUUCUGAACCAAAGAAUCUCUCUAGAUGUAGCUAAACAUAUAUACCAUGAAGGAGUGAACUCUAUCUGAUCACUGGAAGCAGUGUCAAUGAAGACAACGUUGAUUUUCAGAUUGUUUCCAGUUGUUCAAUGUUUCAGACAAUGCUGCAGGAAACAUUCUAAUACACGCCUCUUAUAUCAGGAGUGGGUUCACAGUUGUGACAUUCUUCAUGAGUCACAGAGUUGCCUAAAAGCCAUCAUCAAAUUGUCUCCCAAGUGCAUUAAUUUACACAAUCGUCAACCACCUCACAGUUUCUAUUUCCUCAUGUCAUUGCCAAUAUUUAUAAUUUUAGUACUUUAAUGUUUUCC
rnacentral:lncRNA from 1 species